AUGGCUCUAUAUAAACAGGGCAGCCAAAGGGAGGAGGACCACAAGGCUCAGGGACUGAAAAGCAGGGUAAGCGGCCGCAGCCAUGAUGGAUCGACCCGAGUCGUCAACGGUACGGGGCCGGGCUGCCGCGGGGCUGGUCUGCGUUUGGGACCGGGCAGAAACGUGUUUUAUUGUCAAAAUAAAAAUAAAAGAGAGUGGGGGGGGCCACCCCGAGGAAACAAGAUGAAAACAAAACGAAAAAGAGAGGAAAAAAAAAAAAAAGAACACUCGAGGGUGACCCAAGCCACCGCAAAACUGAGGGGAAAAUCUUUCAAACAAAAUCGGAUCCUGACGGAGGAGAGGGGAGCGGCGAGAGGAGGAAGGGGAGGACGGAGGGAGGGGGAGUCCUCCCGGAGCUAAAAAAACUCGAGAAUCGCCCUUUUAAAAAAAAAAAAAAAAGGCCACGACCCUUCAGGGGUCCCGGGGGGCGUUGCCCGCUCCCCACCCCCGCGCCAAGGAGGGAAACCACCACCGGUCGCCGCUCCCCGCGCCGCCGCCGCCACCGGCUGCAGCUCCAGCCGUCCGGUCCGCCCGCUUCUCCCCUUUAUAUAGUGAGCCAACGAGCUGCGCGAGCCGCCGCCGCCGCCGCCGCCGCCGCCGAGAGACAGGGCGGAGGGGGGGAGGGAGGGGCGGAAAGGGCGGGGGCAGCGGUGGGCGGGGCCGAGCGCGAGAACACCGCGAGAGCCGCGUGCGCAGGCGCGUCGGGGCGGAGGCCGCCGCAGGCCGCGUCAUCGAGCCCUGUGGAGGGCGUUGUGAGGGGCGGGGCCGACUUAAAGUUGUGAAGUCGGCCCGCCGCCUCGCCAAGUCUCGCGUGAUCACGUGGUCGGCACCUAGGCGGAAGUCUCGGGCAGCUGCUUCGGGAUAGUGAAGUGAAGUGAGGUCGUUCAGUCAUGUCUGCCUUUUUGCGACCCGGUGGAGUCUAAGCCCACCAGGCGCCUCAGUCCGUGGGGUUUUCCUGGCAAGAAUACUGGAAUGGGUUGCCAUUUCCUUCCCCGCCUUAUAGGGGCUCGCUAACUGUUGCCGGAGGAAAGGCAUGAGUGCUGGUAACCCUGGAGUCCAGAGCUAGCUGGGGGACCGCCUCCUGAGGGAUGUCUAUACGCAGUCCGGCGCUGGAGGGGCUCGAAGACGUGGAAGGGGCAGUGGCGGUCGCCUGCUAGGCAGGGCCGAGGAGAGCCGGUCACGUGCCCCACCCCGCCGCCCGCGCGCGCUCGGAUCGUGGGCAGAGGUUCAAAUGCGGAGUCAUCUCUGAAGAGGAGCUCAGCUCAGAUACCACGUUCGGAGGCGUGGGCACCUGCCGCCUGGGCUGGGUGUUUAGCUUGCAGAAUUGUACCGAGUUCCUAAAAGGGAUGAAAGCUGAUUUGCCGCCCCCCACCCCCCACCUUAACACAUUCCAGAAUCAGUGACACCUGAAGCCAGAUGAGUUGUCCCAGCCAGUACAUCCGCGAAGUCUCUGGGUUUCAAGUUUCCCAAAGGUCCGGGCUCUACUAUCCUACAUACUUUAAAUGACUUCUCAAGGCAGUGGAAAAAGCCACCCCGUCCCUCCCCAACCCGAAACGGAUCACCGGGAUUAUGACUGCACAAGUCUCCCCGGUUUAUAAAAACGUUGCCCCAAUUCACUGACCACGUGGCCAGGGCAUAUUAACAUCUGAAAUACUGGGCGUCUGACCCCCACUAACUGAUAUGGCCUGUUGCUGCUAAGAGCAGAAAAUGUUCUUGUCUUGGGGUGCAGCUCAAUAGACAUUUGACCUACUCUGCGGAAGCUAAUCACCCGCCUUUAUAGCAGCAUUUCACACAACAGAGAAUGUUCUAUGUUUUAAAAGGUGGAAGUUAACAGUACCUAUUUUUUUUGUCCAUAGGGAAUUUCCAGAGACAGGGAAUGUAGUCUGGACAGAUGAGGGAGUUUAUCCUCAAAAGGCAAAGCAGAACAAAAUGUCAGAGUUACAUAGUCUCUAAGGCCAUAUUGGAGGAACAUAACUUGCUUCUCAGUUCCCUGCAGGGUUGCUUGUUUGGGAGCAUCAAAAGGAAAAAAAUAAAUCACAGAAAAUGAUAGUGUUCUUUAUGUUGUUCAGCCGCUCAGUUGUGUCUGACUCUUUGCAACCCCAUGGAUUGCGGCACAUCUUUCAUCUCCUGGAGCUUGCUCAAACUCAUGUCCAUUGAGUCGGUGAUGUCGUCGUCUUCUACUGGCAUCCAUCUUUCCCAGCAUCAGGGUCUUUUGCAGUGAAUUGGCUUUUCGAAUCAGGUGGCCAAAGCGUUGGAGCUUCAGCUUCAGUGUCAGUCCU
rnacentral:lncRNA from 1 species